AUUGAACGCUGGCGGAAUGCUUUACACAUGCAAGUCGAACGGCAGCACGGACUUCGGUCUGGUGGCGAGUGGCGAACGGGUGAGUAAUGUAUCGGAACGUGCCCAGUCGUGGGGGAUAACGUAGUGAAAAUUACGCUAAUACCGCAUACGAUCUAUGGAUGAAAGCGGGGGAUCGCAAGACCUCGCGCGAUUGGAGCGGCCGAUAUCAGAUUAGGUAGUUGGUGGGGUAAAGGCCCACCAAGCCAACGAUCUGUAGCUGGUCUGAGAGGACGACCAGACACACUGGAAGUGAGACACGGUCCAGAAUCCUACGGGAGACAGCAGUGGGGAAUUUUGGACAAUGGGCGAAAGCCUGAUCCAGCCAUUCCGCGUGCAGGAUGAAGGCCCUCGGGUUGUAAACUGCUUUUGUACAGAACGAAAAGGUUUCUACUAGUACUAGGAGCUCAUGACGGUACUGUAAGAAUAAGCACCGGCUAACUACGUGCCAGCCGCCGCCGUAA
rnacentral:rRNA from 1 species